AGGACGAACGCUGGCGGCGUGCUUAACACAUGCAAGUCGAGCGGUAAGGCCUUUCGGGGUACACGAGCGGCGAACGGGUGAGUAACACGUGGGUGAUCUGCCCUGCACUCUGGGAUAAGCCUGGGAAACUGGGUCUAAUACCGGAUAUGACCUGCUCUCGCAUGGGGGUGGGUGGAAAGAUUUAUCGGUGCAGGAUGGGCCCGCGGCCUAUCAGCUUGUUGGUGGGGUAAUGGCCUACCAAGGCGACGACGGGUAGCCGACCUGAGAGGGUGACCGGCCACACUGGGACUGAGACACGGCCCAGACUCCUACGGGAGGCAGCAGUGGGGAAUAUUGCACAAUGGGCGAAAGCCUGAUGCAGCGACGCCGCGUGAGGAUGAAGGCCUUCGGGUUGUAAACCUCUUCAGCGAGGACGAAGCGCAAGUGACGGUACCUGCAGAAGAAGCACCGGCUAACUACGUGCCAGCAGCCGAC
rnacentral:rRNA from 1 species